GCCCUCUCUUUCUAUCUCUCUAAACAGGUCUUCACACAACGAACUAGAAAAGCACAGGUAAGUGGUACCCCCAUUCCCAUAUGAGCUACUUGAUGUGACUGCCUCCUCAACCUCCCACAUCGAAGGGGUACUUUUGCUGACCUGACCUGUCGGGGUUGCCAGACUAUGCUCUAGGCUCUGGAAAGGCCAGUUCUAGAGGGGACUAGGGUCUGUUCUCAGGCAGUUUUGGAUUGGCAGGCAAGGGCUGGGCUCAGGCCAUAUUCUUUGGUGUUUAGCUUGGGGUCAGAACUGGAUAGGUACCAAGGACUUGGAGCUCCUUGUACUGGUAGCAGUCUGAGUUGGCUCCCUGGAAGAAGACAUGGUGUGAUUGGGCAUGCCUAAGCCCCUUUGGAAACUUUGCUUCAGCUCUCAGUAUCAUGGCCUUGGUAGGGGAUUCAUUCCUUUUCCCCCUUCCCUCUGCCUUUUGGGGUCUGUUUUCUAAGGAGCUAUGAUGCUCUACAUGACUGGAGCAUCACUGGAGGAGAGCAGGCCCAGGCUUUGUCCCUGCACCCUGGCUCUUGUCAGCUCCUGGUAUGGCUGGUGGCCCAUAAGGCUACUUCACUUUGUCAUUUGCCUCUUCCCUCUGUCAGUGGUGACAAGGUGUGGCUAAACCCUGGGAGUUGGGAGGUGAAGGAGAUCCUUGUGGCUGCCAGCAGCAGCCUAAGUGGAAGCAGAGGUAUUUUAGGCCAGGCAGCCCCAUGAGCAGUAGACCCCAUGCCAGAACCAGGGAAAGCCCCUGAGGGACAGCAGGCAAUACCUCUCUCCUGACCUCUGCUUUUAUCAAUAAAAUGGACAAGUUCUGUCUUGCCUUCUUGGUGUUUGGGGUGGGGGGUGGAGUACCUAACUCUGCUUCCUAGAUGAUCCCUCCUGGGUACACUGGAAAGGCCUGGAGCCCAGCCAGUUCUUUCCUUUUCCCCUCCCCCCUCCCCCAUGUCUGCGCCCAGUGCAGCGCCAACUUCCGCUCUCCCGGGAUUCAGGACUCUAGUUGGGGCGGGUGGCUGGGCAGGGACAGAACACCAUGUUCCCAGAGGAGAUGCACUUCCUGCAGUGGCUUGUGUGUUUGGGGGGUUCCCAAGGGGCCAGGCCACAGGGAUGGAAGCCAGAGUGAGGCAGGCUUGGGGUUGCUCCUAGGACAGAAGAGAUGAACCCACCUUGUCCAGACUCAGGAACAAUGUCCUGGCCUGUGUGAGGACAGACUUCCUGGAAGCAGUGUUUGGGAGGACACCUGAUAGUGAAGACAGAUGAGGAGUGCCAUGGAGGCAAGAGUGGGUAGGAAGCAACCUCUAGGGAGGAUAAGGGCUGACCUCUGACCUCUGCAGACAUCUGUUGACCUUAGUCUUGGUCUUUGCCAUUCUUCAUAAGCCUAUAGUUAGACUGGGUCUUAUAGAGGCUAUUAAUUUAAGACGGGGUAGGAUUUUCUGGGCAUCCUGGGCCUCUCUGACACCCAGGGUGUCAGGGUCUUUCAGGGUAGGGUCUUUCUACCUAGCUGACUGGGCCAUAGAUGUAGACAGCUCUGAGAAGUCCAAAUGUCUGGGGCUUGGGCCCUGGUAAGGACAUCAGUCACAGCUGGCUAUAGAUCGAUGCCAGGUGUUCCUGGAUGCUGGCUGAAGGAAGGGCUGUGUGUUGUCCUGAGGAAGGAAGGAAACACCUGGCUAGCUGCCCAGAAGGCCGUAAGAGGCAUACCCUGGAUGCUGCCUUCACUGGAAGUGUCUGUCAGAGAGACUCAGGUGGGCCUGUGGGACUUCCCCAUUCGGAGCUUUGAACAGUACCCACCCACCCUACCCACUACCCCUGUAGAUCAGUAUUUCUGGUAGAUUUGCCAUGGUGGCACUAGCUGCUGACCUCAGGGCCUGGAAGCCCUCCUAGACUCAGCUCUAAGUUUUGGUCUUUAGUAUUGAUGAGAGCUGCAAGUGUUCUUUCUGGCCCCUAGCAUUCCUGGAACAUCAGAGUUCAGAUCUAAGCCCACAGCUAGGCCCCUCACCCUAACCCAGGCACAGAGAUGGUUUUUCAGGCCUGCCAUAGUACCCUUGGCAUGCUCGUGUAUGGCUGCCCACAAGUGCCUGAUGCAGCCAUGUGGAUCCACACAAAAGACAUGUUUGUCAGCAACACCUAGAAGAUGCUAAUAAAUAGAAAAGGAUGGGGAUUCCCUUUCCCCAUCCCACGGACUUCGGUGGGUUUUGCCACUGCCUUAGCUUCGGUAACCUGGCCUGGAACCUAUCUCUGCCAUCCAGCCAGGACUGGAGCCCACAUGUGCUAGGGGACCCUGGCUUGGAGCCAAGCUCCCACCCCCAGCUCUUGGGCCUUCUUUUGAGGAGUAGGGGUUUUUGGUGAGACAGUAGGUGUUGCAAUGUCAAAUGGCUGAGCUGUGAGGAGAAAUGGGGCUGUUGCUGAUAGAAAUGCAGGAAUUCCAGGCUAAGUUCUUCUUCCUUUAGAAGCACAGGGGUUUGACAUGUCAGAUGCAUAGGGUCAGCCAUGAAUGUCUUGAGUCUGGUGUUGCUAUAGUGACUUUAGGGAGGAUAUAGUGAGAUCCCAGAGCAACUUAGACUCUAUGACUAUGAUGCUCAUAAUCCACCUUCCCCACAUCCCCUCACUAGCCACAGGCUCAGCCCAGAGUGUGCACUCUUCUAUGCUUGGGUUGACAUAUUAGUUUUACAUUGCUUGUGUAUGGUCAGGUGACUUUUCCUUGUCUCUUGAAGAAAACCUUUUUCUAAUAUUGCUCAUGUGCUUCCUGCACCCCACCCAGAGACCUUAUCUUUGGUUACCUGGAGGCCUCUGAGAUGAUAAGGGGCCUUUGUUACCCACUCUCCCUACUUGGAAUCUUCACCCAAUCCCAUGUAAGUACUCCAGACCUGUGUCCCUGUACCGGUAGCCUCCCUGGCCUCGGAGCCUAUAGAGGCCCACAACCAUCGGAUCCCCGUUCCCUUUGAUCUGAGUAUUGAGAUGCCUGGGGAUGGUUCUAUGGAACCCAGAUUCUAGAAGUAGACUAGAAGUACUGUCAAGCAGUCUGGGCCAAAGAGGCGGUGCUUCUCCCACAGGACAGGUGGCACUAAGCCACUUCCAGCCACCUCUUUACAUUCCAUUUGGAACAGAGGAGAAAGUGAGCAUUGGCUCAUUUGUUUGCGUUUUCAUUGCCUGAUUACUUGUGGGAUGGAGUCUGUUUCCAUGUUAGAUUUGCCCUUCUGUCUUUUGCAACUCUGCUCAUUGUUAUACGGAGGCAGUGUUCUUUAUUUUUGAUGUGUAUGAGCUCAAGAUAUCACUAAUACUAACUGUUUUGUCUUUUAUAUGUACUGCAAGUGUGUUCCUACUGUUACUUGUCUUUCAGCUGUGUUUCUUUCUUGUACAAAUGUGUCUUUCUCUGAUUGUAAAAGUAAAUGUGAGGCUUUUAAAAGCAUAGAAAACGUGGAAAAUACAGACAAGCACAAAGCUAAAGAAAUAAAGGUUGCCAGCCGCAUCCCUGGAGAUGCAUGCUUCCUGUGCUUCAUUGUGUUCUGUGGAGUCUCUUGUGUGCGUCUGCUCUUUUUAUUUUUUUAAACAAAAGUGGGUCACUUGUCACAUAUGUGGUCCUGUAUCCUAAUGUUUCCACUUAACACUCAUGAACUGGAAAGGCAGAGACACUGAAACAACAGUGUGGUCAUCUCUAAAACAGGGAACUUGGGAAUACUUUGUUUCUUGUCAAUUUGCACUUUCUGCCAAUUUGCAGAAAGCCAUAGCUGCUGACAUGAUUAAGUGGUUAUAGGAAUUGCUGUUUAACAAGUACACCUGGUGAGAAGGGUUUGUGGUCCUGUCCUACACCUGCCAUAUCCCAGUGCUGGCCUCAGACAAUGGAAUCUAUCUCGGGGAGGCUCCACCUCUGCUCUCUAGCCCAGCUCUGUUCUCUAGUCCCUUCAGUUCCUAGGGUUGGAUGCUCACUGUGCUGGAAGCAACGACGCUGAGAUCUGGACUCUGGGAGGGUAACCAUGCAGGCAGUAGCAUGGAGCCAGGAGCCUCUCUAUGGUGAGAUUGAAGAUCCUCUAGCCUUGCAACAGAGUCUAGGGCUUACACAACUCUCACUUACACCCUGCCACCUGGCUAAGCCCAGCCCCAGUCCUGUGUCUAAGAUGUUCUUCCAAAGGUCUAACUCCAGUUCACC
rnacentral:lncRNA from 1 species